GUCUAUGGCCAUACCACCCUGAACGCGCCCGAUCUUGUGUGAUCUCGGAAGCUAAGCAGGGUCGGGCCUGGUUAGUACUUGGAUGGGAGACUAUAUGAUUGUGCUCUGGGCCAGAAAAU
ensembl:rRNA 5S_rRNA 5S ribosomal RNA